rnacentral:rRNA from 1 species
GUACAAAAUUAUAUCAUCUAUGAUAUAACGCACCCGAUCUCAUCUGGUCUCGGAAGCUAAGCAGGGUUGGACCUGGUUAGUACUUGAAUGGGAGACCACCUGGGAAUAGCGGGUGCUGUAGGCU